UACCAAGGGGGCAAGCGUUGUUCGGAAUUACUGGGCGUAAAGGGCGCGUAGGCGGCUUACCAAGUCAGGCGUGAAAUUCCCGGGCUCAACCUGGGGGCUGCGCUUGAUACUGGUGAGCUUGAAUGCGGGAGAGGAUAGUGGAAUUCCCAGUGUAGAGGUGAAAUUCGUAGAUAUUGGGAAGAACACCGGUGGCGAAGGCGGCUAUCUGGCCCGUAAUUGACGCUGAGGCGCGAAAGCGUGGGGAGCAAACAGG
rnacentral:rRNA from 1 species